AGUCUGGGCUGCUUCGAAGGCCAAAGCUCUAAACUCGGCGGGGCUUUGUCCCCAUCUGCCUCCCCCGGGCAGAGGCUUCUCACCGGCUCCGAUGGGAACGGGAGCGGUGCCUGGCCGGGAAGGCCGAAACUGCCGCAAGAUUUCAGGGUGUUUGCGGCUCGUCUGUCCGCACGAUGUGUUCCAGAGGAGAUAAAGGGAUCCGCCGAGACAGAGGAGGAUGAACUCAAGCGGCUUGAGUUACAGAGCGCUGACCCCCGGCUCCUCUCCGGCGUCUCCCGGCCGUGUCCCCUUCGCUGCCAGCCUGUGACCCAGAGCCGGGGAGCCAAAAAUCCGCUGUCCUGGGGCAGGCGGAGGCCUGGAGGGGUGUGUGUCCCCUUCCUCAUCCCCUUCCUCAUCCCCUUCCUCAUCCCCUUCCUCAUCCCCUUCCUCAUCCCCUUCCUCAUCCCCAUCCCCAUCCUCAUCCCCAUCCCCAUCCCCAUCCCCAUCCCGUUCCCCGUCUCCGCCGCUCCCGCGGGGCCUGCUCGGGGUGGCCGCUCUGCCUUUUCCGCUGUCCCCUUGCUGCAGAAAUUCCGAAUUCCCGGUUCGGCACCGCUCCUUUUGCCGCACUUGGCCCUGGGCUGUCCCGAGGGAACAUCCCCGCUGUCCUGGGAACUUCUCCGCUCCCCAGGGCGCCGCUCCUGCGUCUUUCAGCCUCGGAAAUCCAGUUAAAAAACCUGGAGGAAAGGAGGGAGAAGUUCCCGGGUGCCUCGGUGCUUUCCUCUCUACCAGCUCUGUGAGAUCCCUGCCCGGAUCAAGCCCAGCCGCCGCCGCCUUUUCUAUUUAUCAAUUAAAGAACCAAAAAACCCAUAAAUAAAUUCCAAGUGAGACGCA
rnacentral:lncRNA from 1 species